GACGAACGCUGGCGGCGUGCUUAACACAUGCAAGUCGAGCGGACAGGCGAGUACUUGCAUUCGCUGAUCAGAGGCGAACGGGUGAGUGACACAUGAGGAACCUCCCCAUCUCCCUGUGAUAAACCUUGGAAACGCCGUAUAAUACACGAGACGAUCAACUGUUGCACAGGGUGCAGGAGUGAAGAACUAUCGUUGUUUCAGUUAUUGAUGGGCUCGCGGCUUAUUAGCGGGUUGGUGGAGUAACAGCGCACCAAGGCGAAGACGGGUAGGCGGCCUGAGAGGGGAACCGGCCACCCGGCUACUGAGACACGGCACAGACUCGUAUGGGAGGCAGCGGUGGGGAAUAUUGCAGAAUGGGGGCAAGCCUGAUGCAGCGACGCCGCGUGAGGGAUGAUGUCCUUCUGGUUGAGAACCAAUUUGAGAAGGGCUGAAGAGAGAUUGACGGUACCUGAAGAAGAAGCACCGGCUAACUACGUG
rnacentral:rRNA from 1 species